rnacentral:rRNA from 1 species
UGAGGAAUCUUCCGCAAUGGGCGAAAGCCUGACGGAGCAACGCCGCGUGCAGGAUGACGGCUUUCGGGUUGUAAACUGCUUUUCUGAGGGACGAUUAUGACGGUACUUCAGGAAUAAGGACCGGCUAACUACGUGCCAGCAGCCGCGGUAAUACGUAGGGUUCAAGCGUUAUCCGGAAUCACUGGGCGUAAAGCGUGCGUAGGCGGACGUUUAAGUGCAAUGCGAAAUUCUACGGCUCAACCGUAGAACUGUAUUGCAUACUGAAUGUCUUGAGGACGGCAGAGGCAAGUGGAAUUACAGGUGUAGGAGUGAAAUCCGUAGAGAUCUGUAGGAACACCAAUGGCGAAGGCAGCUUGCUGGGCCGUCCCUGACGCUAAGGCACGAAAGCGUGGGGAGCGAACAG